GUGAGCGUAGUUCAAACGGUUAGAGCACCGGAUUGUGGUUCCGGAUGUUGGGGGUUCGAGUCCCCUCGCUCACCCCA
rnacentral:tRNA from 1 species